ACACCAGUUUCUCCAAGACUGGCAAGUUGGCUCAGCAGAUAGAGAUACUCGAGGCAUGACUCUGGUCACCAAGACCCCCAUGAUGGAAAGGAGAGAACUGACUCCUGGAGGUUGUCCUCUGACUUUCCCACGAUGAUCCUGAACUCACCUACACAUCAUAUACACAAAGUAAUGAUAAAUGAAUAAAUAAAAAUUUAAAAGAAAACUUAAUA